rnacentral:tRNA from 1 species
GCCUUCGUGGUAUAAUGGUCAGCACACUGGACGCAUAUUCCAGAGGUCCAAGGUUCGGAUCCUGGCGAGGGCA